rnacentral:rRNA from 1 species
CAGUCGCCACGGUAAUACGUAGGUGGCAAGCGUUGUCCGGAAUUAUUGGGCGUAAAGGGCUCGCAGGCGGUUUCUUAAGUCUAAUGUGAAAGCCCCCGGCUCAACCGGGGAGGGUCAUUGGAAGCUGGGAAACUUGAGUGCAGAAGAGGAGAGUGGAAUUCCACGUGUAGCGGUGAAAUGCGUAGAGAUGUGGAGGAACACCAGUGGCGAAGGCGACUCUCUGGUCUGUAACUGACGCUGAGGAGCGAAAGCGUGGGGAGCGAACAGGAUUAGAUACCCGCGUAGUCCCUGUCUCUUAUAC